UACAGAGGGUGCGAGCGUUGUUCGGAAUUAUUGGGCGUAAAGCGCACGCAGGUGGCUUCUUAAGUCUGACGUGAAAGCUCCUGGCUUAACCGGGAGAGUCGUUGGCAACUGGGAGGCUUGAGGCAAGGAGAGGGGCGUAGAAUUCCCGGUGUAGUGGUGGAAUGCGUAGAUAUCGGGGGGGAAUACCAGAGGCGCAAGCGGCGCCCUGGCCUUGGCCUGACGCUCAGGUGGCGAAAGCG
rnacentral:rRNA from 1 species